rnacentral:rRNA from 1 species
CCGGAAGUGCAUUUGAUACUAUUCGGCUUGAGUAUGGGAGAGGGAAGUGGAAUUCCUGGUGUAGAGGUGAAAUUCGUAGAUAUCAGGAGGAACACCGGUGGCGAAGGCGACUUCCUGGACCAAUACUGACGCUGAGGCGCGAAGGCGUGGGUAGCAAACAGGAUUAGAUACCCUGGUAGUCCACGCAGUAAACGGUGAUCACUAGGUGUAGCGGGUAUUGACCCCUGCUGUGCCGCAGCUAACGCAUUAAGUGAUCCGCCUGGGGAGUACGGCCGCAAGGUUAAAACUCAAAGGAAUUGACGGGGGCCCGCACAAGCGGUGGAGCAUGUGGUUUAAUUCNACGCAACGCGAAGAACCUUACCUGGAUUUGACAUC